GUGUUGCGGAUUCCCACAUUUGGGUCCAGAUUUACCCACCCGUGUAGGGGCGGGAAAGAAUACCCCUACUGCAGAGGACACUGCGUGUCGUAAGAGGCGACUAAACAACUGCAGAUUGUACAGAACACUUUUAGAAGAUGAAACCAAAGAAUUCUUGUUGGCCCAAAUUGAAUACAGUUCCACUCUGCAGAGGGAAUUAGUUGAAUCAAUGAAGCAUAUAAAAAUCGACCAAACUUCUUAACGUCACAGAACGAGUGGCCCUAUUCUCAA